CUUGCUUUUCUGAAUCUAAGUGGCGAACGGGUGAGUAACACGUAGGUAACCUGCCCAUGUGCCCGGGAUAACUUCUGGAAACGGAUGCUAAAACCGGAUAGGUAGCAGACAAGCAUUUGACUGCUAUUAAAGUGGCCUUGGCCAUGAACAUGGAUGGACCUGCGGUGCAUUAGCUGGUUGGUGAGGUAACGGCCCACCAAGGCGACGAUGCAUAGCCGGCCUGAGAGGGUGAACGGCCACAUUGGGACUGAGACACGGCCCAAACUCC
rnacentral:rRNA from 1 species